AUACGGAGGAUGCAAGCGUUACCCGGAUUUAUUGGGUUUAAAGGGUGCGUAGGCGGUUUGCUAAGCGGGAGGUGAAAUGCCGGCGCUCAACGUCGGAAGUGCCUCCCGAACUGGUGGACUUGAAUGACUCUGCCGUGGGAGGAAUGUGUAGUGUAGCGGUGAAAUGCUUAGAGAUUACACAGAACACCGAUUGCGAAGGCAUCUCACGAAGGGUUGAUUGACGCUGAGGCACGAAAGCGUGGGGAUCAAACAGGAUUAGAUACCCUGGUAGUCCACGCAGUAAACGAUGAUGGCUAACCGCUGGAUCCAUCGGUUCAGUGGCCGAGCGAAAGCGAUAAGCCAUCCACCUGGGGAGUACGACCGCAAGGUUGAAACUCAAAGGAAUUGACGGGG
rnacentral:rRNA from 1 species